rnacentral:rRNA from 1 species
UACAGAGGUCCCAAGCGUUGUUCGGUUUCACUGGGCGUAAAGGGUGCGUAGGCGGCGCGGUAAGUCAGGUGUGAAAUCUCGGGGCUUAACUCCGAAACUGCAUUCGAUACUGCCGUGCUUGAGGACUGGAGAGGAGACUGGAAUUUACGGUGUAGCGGUGAAAUGCGUAGAUAUCGUAAGGAAGACCAGUGGCGAAGGCGGGUCUCUGGACAGUUCCUGACGCUGAGGCACGAAGGCCAGGGGAGCAAACGGG